GUGGAAGAGCACUUUAGAGGGGUGGGGACCCUUAAACACUGUGUAGAGGGCUUAGUGGAGCUGAGCCUGGGAAGGGAAAAGAAAAGAGGUGGAAAGAGUUUAAGAGUUUAAGAGCCAAAGGUCGGAAGGAGUUGGAUCAAAACAAUGACAUGUUCUCAUGAUAUGGUCGUUGAACUCACAAACUCAGUGCAGUUGGUGUCCAGCAGAAGAGCAAACCACUCAACAUUCCGCACGGAUGUCGUAGGGCACUGAAGCCCCUGCCUGCAGCUGAGAAGAUUCUGUCACUUGAGAACUGCUAGGGAUGGGUUUUCUUUAGGGGUAUGGUCCCUAGUGAGUGGACCAUGCUGCAGUGGUGGCCCCUCACUCAUGAGUAGGCUUCGCUGUAUUCAAGGGAUUAUUCACUGACCAGAUUUACAAUGCCAGGCAAUAGUUUCCUCUUUUAGUGCGGACCUUGAAUCCACCCAGAAAAUGAUUGGUGAUCCUCAUUACAUUCCUGCCAUUUAUGGCACACCCAUGAGUACAUCUUGCCAGGGCUUUUGUUAUGUAGCCCUGAGUAGUCACAGUGGAGUGAGAAUAGUCUGCAUAGCAUCUUCUAGCAUCAUAAAGCUAGCAGGGGUGGAAGCUUCCUGCUAAGUACUGUGCAGGCAGGUCUGUGUGAUUUCUUCAAGUUCUUUGACCUACAUGUGUGGUGUCAUCAGCUAUAGGAUCUUACCAUCACAUUCUGAUGGGUAGCCCUGAGCAAUGAGAAUUGACAACUCUGGUAUCAUCUCUGUGACAUCCUCGACCAACAACUUGAGAGCAAGGUGUCCUACAUCUACCUCUGGACUUGUAGCCAGUGGAAGGAGAAUUAACCACCUUGUAACGUUCGUUCUGAACACUUUCCAGGCCGUUCUGGCAUCCGAUGAAUGUGAUUACUAUGCCCUCUUUCUCUAUCCUCCCAAUGGUCUUCCGUUUUUGGAAGUCACCCCAAAGAAUCCUACAGUGUCCAGCCGCAGCUUCCUGCUAUGGUGGGAUUCUGCCAAGGGGAAGCAGAUGAGGUGAAGAGAAAAGCCCUGUAUUUCAGCCUGACUAACAGUGAGCAGUAGGUGAAGAAUCUCUACCAGACAUGGAGACUUCGAUGAUUUUAAUCUGGAGGAUGCGCUGAAAGAAACUUCCUCAGUAAAGCGUGACUCAAACAAACAAGUCCACCAAGCAAACAGAAGUGGUCGGCCAUGCACCACACUGACAAUCUUGCCUUCAGAAAAGUACACGCAUAUGAGACUAGCUGUACCUCCAUCUACCUGUUUGUUCUGUUGUGCAAGGCUUGUGUCGUUUUGUCAUACGUGUGUCAUCUUCCUUUUACAUUUAGUUUAUGUAGAGCCCACGAGAGAACGUGCAUCUGCCUUACCCUUUUUUCUGCUGUACAAAAAGAGAACUCCGACCCGUUUCAUUCCUCUCACUGUUUUGUUUUGAGACAGGGUCUCUUGAUUUAGCCAGGGUUGUCCGGAAAUUCUCUGUGCCGACAAGGCCGGCUUUGACUUGGGUCCAGUACUAGAGCAACAGUGACUCUUUGUCACUGAUGUGCAUUUCUAGCUUCAGAACCCAUGACUUUUUAUGAUUCUUCAGUGUGAUCCCCUCAAUGGCCUCGGGGACCUAUACCGAGACCAUUCUCACGAUGUGACUUCUGUAAACCAUAAAGCAGCCACUGUGUUUUACAAUCUGCUUCCUUUCGUCCUCCCUUCUCCCUUCAGAGAGCCACUUUAGCACCACGACUAGAAGGACAGGAACAACCAGAGCCUCAUCAAAUCCAGCAGGUAAUGAGGUGUGGGAAGUGAGGAAGGCCAGACUCACCUGAGAAGGGACAAAAGGAGGGACUCGUUAGGACUCCAUCUGGGACAGGGUCAAAAGGAGCUUUGUAGAGUUUUUAGCUGCACAUCUGAAAAGUUAGCAAAGGCACCCAUGUGAAUGUUAGAUUUAAUUCAACAGAAUCCCAUCUGGUUGGUCACUGUGCCUUACGUGAAAGCCAUGCGUUUCCACUUCCCUAUUGCUUUGGGUGAUG
rnacentral:sRNA from 1 species